CGCCUCUUGCUAACUAUAAGAGGUCCAGCCUGCCCAGUGACAAAGUUAAACGGCCGCGGUACCCUAACCGUGCAAAGGUAGCGCAAUCACUUGUUCUUUAAAUGAGGACUAGUAUGAACGGCAUCACGAGGGUUAUACUGUCUCCCCCCUUUUUUCAGUGAAACUGAUCUUCCCGUGAAGAAGCGGGAAUAUUAAUAUAAGACGAGAAGACCCCAUGGAGCUUUAAACUCAGAAUCAACUGCCACAAACUUAACUUAAUAACUAUGCAGGAAUGACUUCUAGUUUUCGGUUGGGGUGACCGCGGAGUAAAAUAAAACCUCCACGACGAAAGGAACUAACCACCUAAACCAAGAGCCACAGCUCUAAGUAUUAAAACAUUAACCUAAUUGAUCCAAUUACUUGAUCAACGAACCAAGUUACCCUGGGGAUAACAGCGCAAUCCAUUUCAAGAGCUCAUAUCGACAAAUGGGUUUACGACCUCGAUGUUGGAUCAGGAUAUCCAAGUGGCGCAGCCGCUACUAACGGUUCGUUUGUUCAACGAUUAAAAUCCU
rnacentral:rRNA from 1 species